rnacentral:rRNA from 1 species
AUGUGGGAAACAGGCAAGGAUGGAUGGGAUGGUUCCAGAACAACAGUUUGGCCAGAGAGAGAGAGCUUGGAUCAAAACAAGGCUGGUGGAAAUUUCAGAGUGUUAUGCAACAAGUGCAAGGACACCAGGCACCUGACUAGAGACUGCAAGUUGCCCAACUGCAUCAUUUGUGGUAAGAAUUCUCACAUCACUGAGGAAUGUGCUUGGCUGAAACAAAUCAAGCCAACCCCCAAAUUCAUUGGAUAUGCUGCCAGAGGGUUGGGAGUGCUACUGGUGCAAAAUUCUAAAGAGGUGGUCAGUAGUGAACAAAUUAACCCUAUGGCCACUGUAAACAUCUCUUCUGGGGAGAUUAAUGAGACUAAAUUCUUGGAAGGUUUCAACUACAUGUUCAGCUGGAAUUGGCAAUGGAGAUGCAAAAAACAUGGAGACAAGGCUUACUUGAUGAGAUUUCCCAGCAAAAGCAGACUGGCAGAGCUUCACAAGUUUGGAAAUUUUAACCUGCUGGGGACCAAUGUUGUAAUCAAUGUGGACAGCUGGACAUAUGACACUCAAGCUUUUGGCAACUUACAUAAAGUGUGGGUGUAG